UACGGAGGGGGCUAGCGUUGUUCGGAAUUACUGGGCGUAAAGCGCACGUAGGCGGCUUUGUAAGUUAGAGGUGAAAGCCCGGGGCUCAACUCCGGAAUUGCCUUUAAGACUGCAUCGCUAGAAUUGUGGAGAGGUAAGUGGAAUUCCGAGUGUAGAGGUGAAAUUCGAAGAUAUUGGGAAGAACACCGGUGGCGAAGGCGGCGACCUGGUCCGAUACUGACGCUGAGGCGCGAAAGCGUGGGGAGCAAACAGG
rnacentral:rRNA from 1 species